rnacentral:misc_RNA from 1 species
UACGGAAGGUGCAAGCGUUAAUCGGAAUUACUGGGCGUAAAGCGUGCGUAGGCGGUUGCGUAUGUCGGAUGUGAAAGCCCCGGGCUCAACCUGGGAAUUGCAUUCGAAACUGCGUGACUAGAGUGUGGUAGAGGAAGAUGGAAUUCCACGUGUAGCGGUGAAAUGCGUAGAUAUGUGGAGGAACACCGAUGGCGAAGGCAGUCUUCUGGGCCAACACUGACGCUGAGGUACGAAAGCGUGGGUAGCGAACAGG